GGAAAACACAAUUUAAAUUAGAAUCGUCAAGCUAUUUGUAUAAAAUGCUUAACUUUAUAUUUUACAGCUUACAAGUUAACAAAUUAAAAAUAUUCAGGUGGAAGCUACUUCACUAUAUCCUUCCUUGUAAACAGCUAUUGUACAUCUGGCAACUGAAAAGCGAUGACCAAUGCCAUAUUUGCAACCAAUUAGAAAACUAUGAACACUUUUUCAUCACAUGCCAAUACUUUCAAAUUUUUUGGAAAAAGGUCAAAUUACUACUUGACAAAAUAAAAAUGGGGACACAUAUAAUCUCUUUCAAAAAUCUAAUACUUGGGUAUAAAAUAUAUGAUAAAAACUACUAUGAC
rnacentral:lncRNA from 1 species